rnacentral:rRNA from 1 species
GACGGGGGGGCAAGUGUUCUUCGGAAUGACUGGGCGUAAAGGGCACGUAGGCGGUGAAUCGGGUUGAAAGUGAAAGUCGCCAAAAACUGGCGGAAUGCUCUCGAAACCAAUUCACUUGGGUGAGACAGAGGAGAGUGGAAUUCGUGUGUGAGGGUGGAAAUCCGCAAAUCUACGAAGGAAGGCCAAAAGCGAAGGCAGCUCUCUGGGUCCCUACCCGAGGCUGGGGUGCGAAAGCAUGGGGAG